UACGUAGGGGCCGAGCGUUGUCCGGAGUUAUUGGGCGUAAAGCGCGCGCAGGCGGCUUGGCGCGCCCGACGUGAAAGCCCCCGGCUUAACCGGGGAGAGUCGUCGGGGACGGCCGGGCUUGAGGGCGGGAGAGGGUGGUGGAAUUCCCGGUGUAGUGGUGAAAUGCGUAGAGAUCGGGAGGAACACCUGUGGCGAAGGCGGCCACCUGGGCCGACCCUGACGCUGAGGCGCGAAGGCGUGGGGAGCAAACGGG
rnacentral:rRNA from 1 species